rnacentral:rRNA from 1 species
UACAGAGGGGGCAAGCGUUGUUCGGAAUUACUGGGCGUAAAGGGCGCGUAGGCGGCCUCUUAAGUCGAACGUGAAAUCCCCGGGCUCAACCCGGGAACUGCGUCCGAUACUGGGAGGCUUGAAUCCGGGAGAGGGAUGUGGAAUUCCAGGUGUAGCGGUGAAAUGCGUAGAUAUCUGGAGGAACACCGGUGGCGAAGGCGGCGUCCUGGACCGGUAUUGACGCUGAGGCGCGAAAGCUAGGGGAGCAAACGGG